AUGAUGGCGGCCGCAGCGCAUCCCGGGCAGCCGGACCUGGGCGGACUGGUGGACGCGCUCUGCGCGUCCGGCCGCUCCGCCGAGGCGCACCACCGCGUCGCGCUCCUCCUCUCCUCCGCAUCCGCAUCCGCGUCGCGCCGCCUCGACGCGCCCACCGCCAACGGCCUCCUCGCCCGCCUCCUCCGCGCGCGCACGCCCCUCCUCACGCUCCGCCUCGUCCAGGCCGCCCCGUUCGCGCCCUCCCUCCCCAACUACAACCGCCUCCUCGCCCUGCUCUCCUCCGCCGCCGCGCCCUGGCUCCUCCUCCUCGCCCACCGCCUCCUCCUCCGCAUGCGCGUGCCUCCGAGCGCCGUCUCCUACGCCGCGCUGCUGGACGGCUACGCGUGCGCCGCGGACCCUCGCGCCGCCCAGAAGCUGCUCGACGAAAUGCCCCGCUGGGGGCUCGCCCCCAGCUCCCUCGCGCGCACUUUCCUCGUCAAGGCCUUCCUCCGCAGCCGCGACGUCGGCGCGGCCAUGGACCUCGUCGACAACCGGCUCUGGCCCAGCAUGGAGCGCUGCCACGACGAGGACCAGGGGCUCAAGAACGCGGCCUUUGCCAACCUUGUGCAGUGCCUGUGCGUCGAGGGGUUCUUCCACAUUGUCUUCCGCGUCGCCGAGGAGAUGCCGCAGCGGCGCUGCCUCGUCCCGGACGAGUUUGCCUAUGCCCAGAUGAUUGACUCUCUCUGCCGGGCUGGACAGCACCAUGGCGCCUCCAGAAUAGUGUACAUCAUGGGGAAGAGGGGCCUGUGCCCAAGCACCCUGUCCUACAACUGCAUUGUUCACGGGCUAUGCACCAGCCAGAAGCCCGGGGGACGCCUGAGGGCGUACCAGCUGGUGAUGGAAGGUGUGCGUUCCGGGUACCGACCGAGAGAGGUAACAUACAAGGUACUCGUCGAAGAGCUCUGCCGGGAGAAAGAGCUUGCCAAGGCAAAGGAUGUCCUGGAGCUGAUGCUGCAGCCCCAAUGUGGGCAUGACAAGCCUGACGAGGAGACCAGGACUAGGCUAUACAAUAUGUUCCUUGGGGCACUGCGUGCUGUGGACAACCCAAGCGAGCAGCUCAGUGUGCUCGUGUCCAUGUUGCAGGGGGACUGCAAACCGGAUGUGAUCACUAUGAACACUGUCGUUCAUGGCUUCUGCAAAGUUGGGCGUACCCAGGAGGCUAGAAAGAUUUUGGACGACAUGAUUAAUGGGCAAUUCUGUGCUCCUGAUGUUGUCACCUUCACCACACUCAUUUCGGGAUACCUGGAUGUAGGUGAGCAUGCAGAAGCCCUCCAUGUGCUGCACACUUUGAUGCCCAGGCGCCGGUGCGCCCCUAAUGUUGUCACUUACAAUUCUGUCCUCAAGGGAUUGUUCUGCCUUGGGCUAGUUGACAGAGCAAUGCAGGUCAUCGAUGAAAUGAAAUCAAGUAGCAUCACUGCCGACUCUGUAACUCACACUGUGGUGAUCAAAGGGUUGUGCAACGCGGGGCAGCUUGAGAAAGCAAAGGCAUUCUGGGACAAUGUAGUCUGGCCAUCAGGGAUACAUGAUGGUUAUGUGUACAGUGCAAUCUUGAGAGGCCUCUGCAAACUGGGGAAACUGGAGCAGGCAUGUGAUUUCCUAUAUGAGUUGGCAGACUGUGGGGUUUGUCCCAGUGUUGUCUGCUACAACAUACUCAUUGACACUGCCUGCAAGCAGGGAUUGAAGAAGUUGGCCUAUCAAUUGGUGAAGGAGAUGAGAAGGAAUGGCCUUUCACCGGACGCUGUGACUUGGAGGAUUCUUGAGAAAUUGCACCUUUAUGGCAAUGAAGAGCAAGAGGAGCACCAGGUCCCCACUUAUCAUAUCGAUCAAAGUUCUGCAGAUGACAGAGUAGAGCCUCUCGUCUCAACAAAAAAUGAGAUACCUUCGUUGUCAUCGUCAUCAUCGUCAGAACCUUUGGAUGAAGUAUACAAGAAUAACAACGAAGCUAAGGUUGAAGAAGCUGGAAGGUCACCAGAAAGGACUGAGAACCCAUCAGAUCUUACUGAGCCAGCAAAGGAGCAGAACUAUCUGAUAGACAGUUCAGUGGUUGGACCAACAAUGGACAAGGAUCAUACAAUCAGUGAUGAUGGCUUCAACAAGCAGGAUGAGCAACCUCUAAGAGAACCACUUUCUGGAGUAGCCAGAAGGGUUUUUGGCUUGCUCUAG
rnacentral:rRNA from 1 species